UAAAGAAAUAUUGCUAAUACAAGACUUCUACCGUUAUGGGGAGCAACAACAUGAUAUGAAAUGUUACUAUGAUUUGUGUGGGCCGCCAAGGUAUUACACCAGCGUUAUGCUUAGUUAAAAGGCAAUAUUUUUUCUUUUAAAUAGGACGAGGCCUUUUUUCUUGACAUUCCAGAUGCCGCGCUAGAAGCUUUAAAUUUUGAACAAGAUGGAAGUCAAAACCACCCAAUAGGUUUUCCUGAAAUUACAGAAGAAGACUUAUCAAGUGUUAUUCCUCAAGAAGAAAUGUUGAAGGGGAGCACGCUUAAAGGGACCAAGAAAUUUCCCUCUGAGGCAGCGGCAGUUAGAAGCAAGGGUAUUAAGCACACCGAUUUUGAACAGCCCUGCACGUCCAAAUCCCUUAUUGCACAAAACCAGCCGGCCUUAAAAAAGCCCAAAAAGUCUACCUCUAAAACAGCAUCCGUUUUCAGGGCGGGGGGAAAGGGGCUCAGGCCCCCCGAUUUUGAACCGCCCAAAGCUACCUCUACAACUUCCAGGAACCAUGGUAAGUGAGGCAGAGGAGUUAAAGCCCCUAGUUUUCAACAGACCUAUGCCUCCCCGACCCAAAAUAAAUUAGCUUUAAAAACAAACAACUCUGUAGAAGCAACCGUGUUUAGGGGUGGGUUUGAGCAGGGUGAAGAAGUUAACCCCCCCGGCUUUUGGAACCCGCAAAACCCUUGCUACAAAUAACAAUCUUCCUGUGGGGCUGGCCGCAUCAGUUGCUGCUUGUAACGAGCUGUUUAGUGUUUGUACGUCUCUAAAGCGUUUAAUAGAUAAAAG